AUUGAACGCUGGCGGCAUGCCUUACACAUGCAAGUCGAACGGUAACAGGCCGCAAGGUGCUGACGAGUGGCGAACGGGUGAGUAAUACAUCGGAACGUGCCCGAUCGUGGGGGAUAACGCAGCGAAAGCUGUGCUAAUACCGCAUACGAUCUACGGAUGAAAGCGGGGGAUCGCAAGACCUCGCGCGGACGGAGCGGCCGAUGGCAGAUUAGGUAGUUGGUGGGGUAAAGGCCUACCAAGCCGACGAUCUGUAGCUGGUCUGAGAGGACGACCAGCCACACUGGGACUGAGACACGGCCCAGACUCCUACGGGAGGCAGCAGUGGGGAAUUUUGGACAAUGGGCGCAAGCCUGAUCCAGCCAUGCCGCGUGCAGGAUGAAGGCCUUCGGGUUGUAAACUGCUUUCGUACGGAACGAAAAGGUUUCUUUUAAUACAGGGAACUAAUGACGGUACCGUAAGAAUAAGCACCGGCUAACUACGUGCCAGCCGCCGCAGUAA
rnacentral:rRNA from 1 species